GUGGUAAAUUCCAUCUAAAGCUAAAUAUUGGCGAGAGACCGAUAGCGAACAAGUACAGUGAUGGAAAGAUGAAAAGAACUUUGAAAAGAGAGUGAAAAAGUACGUGAAAUUGUUGAAAGGGAAGGGCAUUAGAUCAGACUUGGUGUUUUACGAUUAUCUUCUCUUCUUGAGUUGUGCACUCGUAUUUCACUGGGCCAGCAUCGAUUCGGAUGGCAAGAUAAUGGCAGUUGAAUGUGGCUUCACUUCGGUGGAGUGUUAUAGCUUCUGCUGAUAUUGCCUGUCUGGAUCGAGGGCUGCGU
rnacentral:rRNA from 1 species